rnacentral:rRNA from 1 species
UACGGAAGGCAGCAGUGGGGAAUAUUGCACAAUGGGCGCAAGCCUGAUGCAGCCAUGCCGCGUGUAUGAAAAAGGCCUUCGGGUUGUAAAGUACUUUCAGUCGUGAGGAAGGUGUUAAGGUUAAUAACCUUAGCAAUUGACGUUAGCGACAGAAGAAGCACCGGCUAACUCCGUGCCAGCAGCCGCGGUAAUACGGAGGGUGCGAGCGUUAAUCGGAAUUACUGGGCGUAAAGGGCACGCAGGCGGUUAAUUAAGUUGGAUGUGAAAUCCCCGGGCUUAACCUGGGAAUGGCAUUCAAGACUGGUUAGCUAGAGUCUUGUAGAGGGGGUAGAAUUCCAUGUGUAGCGGUGAAAUGCGUAGAGAUGUGGAGGAAUACCGGUGGCGAAGGCGGCCCCUGGACAAAGACUGACGCUCAUGUGCGAAAGCGUGGGGAGCAAACAGGGAUUUAGAUA